rnacentral:rRNA from 1 species
UACGUAGGGGGCAAGCGUUGUCCGGAUUUAUUGGGCGUAAAGAGCGUGUAGGCGGCUUGGUAGGUCCGCUGUGAAAACUCGAGGCUCAACCUCGAGAUGUCGGCGGAAACCACUUGGCUAGAGUCCGGAAGAGGAGAGUGGAAUUCCCAGUGUAGUGGUGAAAUACGUAGAGAUUGGGAAGAACACCAGUGGCGAAGGCGGCUAUCUGGACGGUUUCUGACGCUAAGACGCGAAAGCGUGGGGAGCAAACAGG